AUGUUUUUUAUGGUUCCCUUCCUGCCCUGUCUUCCCUGGCAGAUGCAGCUGCUGAAGGAUCAGCUGUCGGCCGAGACCACGGCCCGGAUCGAAGCCCAGGCCCGGGUCCGGCAGCUGCUCUUGACCAACCGUGACCUCCUCCAACAUGUCUCUUUGCUGGUCCGGCAGCUCAAGGAACUGGAGAUCAAGGUCCAGCUGCGGCAUCCAGUGGACCGUUCGCUCCAGAACCUGUCCCUCGCCCAGUCUCUCUCUCUCAACUUGAAGAACCACUACAGCCUCGAAAUCAACCUGCCUUCCACCUCCACCCCAGCCAGCGCCCUGGGCAGCCCUGUGGCCACACGGGGCACGUCUGGAUCCUAUCUGACCCUGGCGAACUUGGAGAAGGGCAGCGGGCUGCCCAACGGCACCGAGGCGGCAGAGGAGGGCUUGGCGGUGCUGGAGGGCUCGGGCGGCUACCGCAGGGUGGAGGGCUCGGAGGCGGUGGACGGCGCUGUGCCUAACGGGACCGCCUGUCAGAAGGGCGGUGACCGGGACACUCCAGUGAAAGAGGAGAGGUCACAGCCGUUCAUCCCCAAGCUGAAUCCUCCUCCUCCCACCCUGCGGAGGAGGUCAAGCAAAACCACCUCACCCUGCCUGGAGGCAGAGCCAGCCGCACCUGGCACUGGUGCCUUAUCAAACCCUGGCACCUCUUCGCUCACCAGGGUCACCCUGUCCUCCCUCACAAGCUCAGAGUCAGAAUCCAGGACACCCCAAGGAGGAGGAGGACACCUCAGCUGCUGCCCUGAGCCGCGGGGGCACCUGAGCCAGGAACAAGCGGUAGAGGAGGGGCGGAGGGUCCUGGCGAAGAGCCUCUGGGGUCACUCCGAAAAAGGCCUGGUGGGGAACCCGGCUGGCAGCUUGGAUAUUUCGUGGCCCUUCUCUUCGGGCAGCAACGAGACCCGCUUACAUAUUAGCCUCUCGGAGGAUGAGCUGGACAAAACAGGGGCCUGCGUUGCUCGCGCAUAG
rnacentral:lncRNA from 1 species